AACGAACGCUGGCGGCAUGCCUAACACAUGCAAGUCGAACGAUUGCCUUCGGGUGAUAGUGGCGCACGGGUGCGUAACGCGUGGGAAUCUGCCCUUAGGUUCGGAAUAACAGCUGGAAACGGCUGCUAAUACCGGAUGAUAUCGCGAGAUCAAAGAUUUAUCGCCUGAGGAUGAGCCCGCGUUGGAUUAGGUAGUUGGUGGGGUAAAGGCCUACCAAGCCGACGAUCCAUAGCUGGUCUGAGAGGAUGAUCAGCCACACUGGGACUGAGACACGGCCCAGACUCCUACGGGAGGCAGCAGUGGGGAAUAUUGGACAAUGGGCGCAAGCCUGAUCCAGCAAUGCCGCGUGAGUGAUGAAGGCCCUAGGGUUGUAAAGCUCUUUUACCCGGGAAGAUAAUGACUGUACCGGGAAAAUAAGCCCCGGCUAACUCCGUG
rnacentral:rRNA from 1 species